UACAGAGGGUGCGAGCGUUGUUCGGAAUUACUGGGCGUAAAAGCGCGCGUAGGCGGUCAGGUAAGUCCGGUGUGAAAGUCAAAGGCUCAACCUUUGAAUGCCGCUGGAUACUGCCUGACUUGAGUCCGGAAGGGGCGAGUGGAAUUCCUGGUGUAGCGGUGAAAUGCGCAGAUAUCAGGAGGAACACCAAUGGCGAAGGCAGCUCGCUGGAACGGUACUGACGCUG
rnacentral:rRNA from 1 species